rnacentral:rRNA from 1 species
AGCUCCAAUAGCGUAUAUUAAAGUUGUUGCGGUUAAAAAGCUCGUAGUUGGAUUUCUGUUGAGGACAGGCGGUCCGCACUAUGUGCGUGUAUCUGUUUUGGCCUCGGCAUCCUCUCGGAAAUCGUUUCUGCGCUUGAUUGCGUGGUGCGGCGUUCGGGACUUUUACUUUGAGGAAAUUAGAGUGUUCACGGCAGGCAAUCGCCUUGAAUAUAUUAGCAUGGAAUAAUAAUAUAGGAUCUUGGUUCUAUUUUGUUGGUUUCUAGAGCUAAGAUAAUGAUUAAUAGGGACAAUUGGGGGCA